rnacentral:antisense_RNA from 1 species
CUUGAUCGACCCCAGCCAAAGCGGCUCGGCCCGGCCCUGGCCAUAAGUGGCCAAUAACGCUUGGGCCUC